GAUGAAGAACGCAGCGAAAUGCGAUAAGUAAUGUGAAUUGCAGAACUCAGUGAAUCAUCGAGUCUUUGAACGCACAUUGCGCCCCCUGGUAUUCCGGGGGGCAUGCCUGUCCGAGCGUCAUUGCUGCCCUCAAGCCCGGCUUGUGUGUUGGGUCUCGUCCCCCUUCCCGGGGGGACGGGCCCGAAAGGCAGCGGCGGCACCGCGUCCGGUCCUCGAGCGUAUGGGGCUUUGUCACCCGCUCUGUAGGCCCGGCCGGCGCUUGCCGAUCAACCAAAACUUUUUUCCAGGUUGACCUCGGAUCAGGUAGGGAUACCCGCUGAACUUAAGCAUAUCAAUAAGCGGAGGA
rnacentral:misc_RNA from 1 species